GGAAAGGUGGCAGAGAGGCUGAAUGCAUCGCACUCGAAAUGCGACGAACAUUUUUAAUGUUCCAGGAGUUCAAAUCUCCUCCUUUCCGCCA
rnacentral:tRNA from 1 species